UACGGAGGGCGCAAGCGUUGUUCGGAAUCAUUGGGCGUAAAGCGCGUGUAGGCGGUCUGGUCAGUCGGGUGUGAAAUACCGGAGCUCAACUCCGGAACGGAAUUCGAUACUGCCAGGCUAGAGUCCCGGAGAGGGUGGUACAAUUCCCGGUGUAGAGGUGAAAUUCGUAGAUAUCGGGAGGAACACCAGCGGCGAAGGCGGCCACCUUGACGGUGACUGACGCUGAGACGCGAGAGCGUGGGGAGCAAACAGG
rnacentral:rRNA from 1 species